UCAACGCAUGUUUGGUCAGGGUGUGACCGACUGUUCACAAAUGUGCACCUCGGAAUGUGGCUUUUUUAGGUUCCCGUCAUCAACACGUCAAUAUAUAAGCAUCGACGAGCUAAUGUGGCACUCGGAUAUAACUCCACACACUCGCAAGAUUCGUAAAGCGCUGCGACGCGUCCUCUCGUAGCUUAGACCCGACGUCAUUGUUGUAAGUCAGUAGCUAGGCACGGUUGGUGAAUCUGCCAGACUUCCGAGUCAAGUCAACUCACAACACCUGGGGUCUGUCGCGUGACCUCCUGUCGGCGAGCCUUCGACGCUUCACGUGGCCUCAAAGUGCACCUAGCCUGGCACAAGCGCCGUGGUGACAUCACCGCUUCUUUAGUGGCGAACGGGUGCUGCUGUUGUUUUCUUCGAAGACCCUUGCCCGCUAUAAUAAAGACACCGCGUAGGUGGACAACACGAACGCUGAACAUUCAAAACAUGUUGAUGUCUACCAAUUUUUUUAAACCUCACAAGUGCGCCCAGAUUGAUCAAAUUCUACAAUGAACGUCCAGACAAAACUCAGCCGAGCAAACAAGCAAAAUAAUUAUCACGCUGGGAUUCAGCAGGACGUGAUCCAAACAGCAAGUUACAGAAGGCAACUGUUCUUCUACCUUGGCACUCACGGCACUCUUUCCAAGGCACAAGCGUGUGUCAUCCAAUACAGAAUUAUCAAGUCAAUAUGGUGUAUUCGGCCAUCCUCACAGCUGCGCUGUGUGUCUUGAUUGGAGGAGUGCAUACGUCACAAGGAUUUUGCAAUCGCUCCACGCAAUAUGAACUGAAUGGCCUCUGCUGUGAUCAAUGUUCUUCUGGACACUUUCGAUCCGCCUGGUGCACCGCGGACAAGCCGACUGACUGCCAGCCGUGCCCUGAGGGCACCUACAACUCGGAGUACAACAUCUACCCCAGAUGCGAAUACUGCACGCGCUGCAUUCCAGCGUUUCGCCAGGUGAAGAAAGAGGGCUGCACACGUACUCGGAACGCAAGGUACGUAUCAUCAUCAUCUUCUUAUAUAUAAAAGUUUAUGGGCACGCGCGCUUGCGAGGAAUUUGGCUCUCGAACGGUGGGGUACAUGUCUAAAAAAAUUUGCCAGGCAGCACGCAGUAAGCCCCGUGCUUGGCAUAGGUUAUUUUUUCACGUCCGUCAUCUUUAAAUUAGUUGCAUUAGCGAUGCAGUGUGAUUCCGCUUUAUUUAUUUAUUUAUUGCGCGACAUCGGCCGUACCAACUCACGCCAUUUGGGUGGGGGGGGACGGUGGACCAUACCAAGUGAUGGGCGUUCGGUCCAGCUCACGGGGGACAUUUUCUUUUACGCGUUUAACACCCAAUUACCAAAACACACAACGCCGCGGCUAUUUCUUAACAGUGUGAUGUCCUCUUCGCCCCCCCAACACGAUGCGUGCAGUUAAUACUGCAGAGUCUAGAUAGUAAUAUUAUAGCAUUAUUGUUGCACGGGGCGGGGGGAUUGUGGUGGG